GGCGCUGGUGGCUCAGUUGCUAGAGCACCAUGUGCAGAUGCUAUAGUCCUCGAUAAGGUUGUCCUGGGUUCGUUUCCCGGUCUCAGGCCA